UUUCUGUUGCUUUUAUGCUCAGAAAGUGUUUCCCUUUCUUAUUAAUCAGGUAGCAUUUUUGUCCAUAUAUUUUAACCCUGGAUGAAUUUUUAUUAUGGUGCUCAUAAGAUACUUCAGCAAACUGGUGCGGUGCCUAAUACGGCACUUCUGAACAUGACGUGUGGUCACUUCACGUUUGGCCAAUAUUUUGAUCUCAAUAGACAUUGAUCAUUGGGGAUGGAUUUCUAAAACAAACAAACAAAAAAUCCGAUCUGUGAAGAUUUAGGAAAGGAAGCAGUGACUACCAGUAACCUGCAUGGAUUUUUGAUAAAGAAGUCAUUCCACACUAACCUCAUCUCUUUUUUGGCAUUAUUACUAGUCUGAUAAAUAAAGGAGUGCAACAGACAUGGUAUCUUUGGAUUUCGUAAGUCUUUGCGCCCAUUGGAUUCAUGAAGAAUUGCAUAGAGAGAGAGCCGAUUGGAUGUGAAAACAGAAACGGCACUUUUCGUAAAAAUUCUGCCAAAAUAAAUGGAGCCAGAGGCCCUCCAUCAGCAGGGUCUUUCCAGAUGUAAUUCAUACUGGAGAAGAGUGGACCCCUAAUCCAAUAUGACUGGGGUCUUUAUAAGAAGACACAGACACACAGGGAGAACGCCAUGUGGCAAUGAAGGCAGAGUUUGAAUUAUGCAGUUGGAAGCCAAGGAUUGCCAAAGAUUGCCAGCAAACCAUCAGAAGCUCGGACAGAAACAAGGAAGGAUUCUCACCUACAGGUUUCAGAGGGAUUGUGGCCCUGCUACACCUUGAUUUUGGAUUUGUGGCCUCCAGAACUGUAUGCCAAU
rnacentral:lncRNA from 1 species